UACAAGAGGCCCAAACGUUAUUCGGAUUUACUGGGCUUAAAGAGUUCGUAGGCGGCUUGGAAAGUGGGGUGUGAAAGCCCUCGGCUUAACCGAGGAAUUGCGCUCCAAACUCCCAAGCUUGAGGAAGCUAGAGGUGAGCAGAACAGAUGGUGGAGCGGUGAAAUGCGUUGAUAUCAUCUGGAAUACCGGAGGCGAAGGCGGCUCACUGGGACUUUUCUGACGCUGAGGAACGAAAGCCAGGGUAGCGAACGGG
rnacentral:rRNA from 1 species